GGUAAAGUGGCUGAGAAUUCAGGCGAUAAAUUGUAAAUUUAUUCACGAAAUAAAAAUUUCCUUUACCA
rnacentral:tRNA from 1 species